AGUGAACGCUGGCGGUAGGCCUAACACGUGCAAGUCGAACGGCAGCACAGUAAGAGCUUGCUCUUACGGGUGGCGAGUGGCGGACGGGUGAGGAAUACAUCGGAAUCUACUUUUUCGUGGGGGAUAACGUAGGGAAACUUACGCUAAUACCGCAUACGACCUACGGGUGAAAGCAGGGGAUCUUCGGACCUUGCGCGAUUGAAUGAGCCGAUGUCGGAUUAGCUAGUUGGCGGGGUAAAGGCCCACCAAGGCGACGAUCCGUAGCUGGUCUGAGAGGAUGAUUAGCCACACUGGAACUGAGACACGGUCCAGACUCCUACGGGAGGCAGCAGUGGGGAAUAUUGGACAAUGGGCGCAAGCCUGAUCCAGCCAUACCGCGUGGGUGAAGAAGGCCUUCGGGUUGUAAAGCCCUUUUGUUGGGAAAGAAAAGCAGCAGGUUAAUACCCCGCUGUUCUGACGGUACCCAAAGAAUAAGCACCGGCUAACUUCGUG
rnacentral:rRNA from 1 species